GACGAACGCUGGCGGCGUGCUUAACACAUGCAAGUCGUACGGUAAGGCCCUUUCGGGGGUACACGAGUGGCGAACGGGCGCGUAACACGUGAGUAACCUGCCCACAACUUUGGGAUAACGCUAGGAAACUGGUGCUAAUACUGGAUAUGUGCUCCUGCUGCAUGGUGGGGGUUGGAAAGCUCCGGCGGUUGUGGAUGGACUCGCGGCCUAUCAGCUUGUUGGUGGGGUAGUGGCCUACCAAGGCGGCGACGGGUAGCCGGCCUGAGAGGGUGACCGGCCACAUUGGGACUGAGAUACGGCCCAGACUCCUACGGGAGGCAGCAGUGGGGAAUAUUGCACAAUGGGCGCAAGCCUGAUGCAGCAACGCCGCGUGCGGGAUGACGGCCUUCGGGUUGGAAACCGCUUUCAGCAGGGACGAAGCUUUUUGUGACGGUACCUGCAGAAGAAGCACCGGCUAACUACGUG
rnacentral:rRNA from 1 species